rnacentral:rRNA from 1 species
AAAUUGAAGAGUUUGAUCAUGGCUCAGAUUGAACGCUGGCGGCAGGCCUAACACAUGCAAGUCGAACGGUAACAGGAAGCAGCUUGCUGAUUCGCUGACGAGUGGCGGACGGGUGAGUAAUGUCUGGGAAACUGCCUGAUGGAGGGGGAUAACUACUGGAAACGGUAGCUAAUACCGCAUAAUGUCGCAAGACCAAAGAGGGGGACCUUCGGGCCUCUUGCCAUCGGAUGUGCCCAGAUGGGAUUAGCUAGUAGGUGGGGUAACGGCUCACCUAGGCGACGAUCCCUAGCUGGUCUGAGAGGAUGACCAGCCACACUGGAACUGAGACACGGUCCAGACUCCUACGGGAGGCAGCAGUGGGGAAUAUUGCACAAUGGGCGCAAGCCUGAUGCAGCCAUGCCGCGUGUAUGAAGAAGGCCUUCGGGUUGUAAAGUACUUUCAGCGGGGAGGAAGGGAGUAAAGUUAAUACCUUUACUCAUUGACGUCACCCGCAGAAGAAGCACCGGCUAACUCCGUGCCAGCAGCCGCGG